AACGAACGCUGGCGGCGUGGAUUAGGCAUGCAAGUCGAACGCGAAAAGGUCCUUCGGGGCCUGAGUAGAGUGGCAAACGGGUGAGUAACGCGUGGGAAACCUGCCCUUGUGUUGGGGAUAACACUUCCAACGAGGUGCUAAUACCGAAUGUGAUUGCUGGAUCGCAUGUUCCGGCAAUGAAAGGCGGCCUCUGCUUGCAAGCUGUCACACAAGGAUGGUCCCGCGUCCCAUUAGCUAGUUGGUGAGGUAACGGCCCACCAAGGCAUUGAUGGGUAGCCGGCCUUAGCGGGUGUCCGGCCACACUGGGACUGAGAUACGGCCCAGACUCCUACGGGAGGCAG
rnacentral:rRNA from 1 species